GCUUUGCAUCCAAGCGCUCCCUGAUGCUCUGGGGGAUGAUCUGGGGGGCUCCAACUGAAGAUGCCUCCCCAGACGCUGAUGCCUGCACGAGACCAUGGACACCGUUGAGAAGGUCUGCUACAAGCCAGAAGUAAUGCUCAGCCACGUCUGAUCGUCCAGACUUACCAAGCAGGUGGUGUGGAAAGGCCGGCAGGGCUGCUGUGGCUGCUGAGGCCCGCACAGCCCGGCUGAUACAGCAUUGACUGCUCCCCAAAGCUCAUUUGGGACCCUCCAGCUCAGUCUCAGCCAUGGCCUGAGGACGUUGCUUGUGCCAGGAAAU
rnacentral:lncRNA from 1 species